UUCAAAUUUUCAAAUGUUUUCCUUUUUUUUUUUUCCCUUUUUUCUCUAAUCUGUCAAGCUCCUUUCAACAACCAGACCAAAACACACCUAGGAUCUAGCAUCAUUUAUUUGAUUCUUUUAUGUGUAUGUGUUGGUUUUCAUCUUUUAAUUUUAAUUUUUUUGCUUUAUUAAUUCUUUUCUUCCUUCGAAAUGAUGAAAUGAAGGAAUUUACCCAAAAAAUAAAGAGCAGGUAGAAAUGACAGCCAGGGACUUAACACAGAUACAAGCAAGAUGUCUGAACCAGAAUUUAGAAUCAUGAUAAUAAGAAUACUAACUGGGGUCAAAAAUAGAUUAGAAUCCCUCUCUGUGGAGAUAAAAGAAGUAAAAGCUAGUCAGGAUGAAAUAAAAAAAUGCUAUAACUGAACUGCAAUCUCAAAUGCAUGCCAUGGUGGCAAGGAUGGAUGAGACAGAGAAGCAAAUCAGCGAUAUAGAGGACAAACUUAUGGAGAAUAAUGAAGCAGAAAAAAAGAGGUAGACUAAGGCAAAAGAGCACAAUUUAAGAAUUAGAGAAAUCAGUGACUCAUUAAAAAGGAACAACAUCAGAAUCAUAGGGGUUCCAGAAGAGGAAGAGAGAGAAAACAGGGUAGAAGGAAGGGUAAUGUGAGGAAAUCAUAGCAGAAAACUUUCCUAACCUAGGGAAAGACACAGACAUCAAAAUCCAGGAAGCACAAAGGACUCCCCUUAGAUAUUACAAAAACUGAUCAUCAACAAGGCAAAUCACAGCCAAAUUCACAAAAUACUCAGGCAAGGAAAGAAUCAUGAAAGCAGCAAGGGAAAAACAGUCCUUAACCCACAAAGGAAGACAGAUCAGGUUUGCAGCAGACCUACCCACAGAAACCUGGCAGGCCAGAAAGGACUGACGGGAUAUAUUCAAUGUGCUGAAUUGGAAAACUAUGGAGCCAAGAAUUCUUUAUCCAGCAAGGCUGUCAUUCAAAAUAGGAGAGAUAAAAAGUUUCCCAGACAAACAAAAAUUAAAGGAGUUUGUGACCACUAAACCAGCCCUGCAAAAAACUUUAAAGGGGACUCUCUGAGGGGAGAAAAGACAAAAAAAAAAAAAAAAAGAAAAAAGACCAAAAGCAACAAAGACUAGAAAA